GCUUCAGCAAGGUAUUGAUGCAAAUGUAAAUUCAAAGAAGAAUGACAUCAUUGAGUUCAUGUUCUAUGUGCACAUUUGUAGAAGAAAUCUAUUUUCAGCAAGUCAUUACUUCUUUUAACUACCUUAGAUAACAUCACAUGUAUAUGACAUCACAUUUAGUUAAUAUGCUUGGCGAACACGAACAUCUGGGUCCAGUGGCACUUUAUUUUAUUGGAACCAAUUCGAUUGUUAUAUUUUUUGAUAUUUUUAAAAAGCUACAUCAUGGAAGUAAGAGAAUUAAUAACCAAAGAAAUAAACAUGAAUUCUGGAAGGUUUGUGAUAUCUCAGUUUUGCUUAUUUUUAUUGGCAAAAGACCCAUUAUAUAUUACAUAAGUAAAUCUAUAUAUUGUGAUUGAAAACUUAUUUUAUAC
rnacentral:lncRNA from 1 species